rnacentral:rRNA from 1 species
AUACGGAGGAUGCAAGCGUUAUCCGGAUUUAUUGGGUUUAAAGGGUGCGUAGGCGGUUUGCUAAGCGGGAGGUGAAAUGCCGGCGCUCAACGUCGGAAGUGCCUCCCGAACUGGUGGACUUGAAUGACUCUGCCGUGGGAGGAAUGUGUAGUGUAGCGGUGAAAUGCUUAGAGAUUUCACAGAACACCGAUUGCGAAGGCAUCUCACGAAGGGUUGAUUGACGCUGAGGCACGAAAGCGUGGGGAUCAAACAGGAUUAGAUACCCUGGUAGUCCACGCAGUAAACGAUGAUGGCUAACCGCUGGGCUUAUCAGUUCAGUGGCCAAGCGAAAGCGAUAAGCCAUCCACCUGGGGAGUACGACCGCAAGGUUGAAACUCAAAUGAAUUGACGGGG